rnacentral:rRNA from 1 species
AACGAACGCUGGCGGCAUGCCUAACACAUGCAAGUCGAACGAGAUCUUCGGGUCUAGUGGCGCACGGGUGCGUAACGCGUGGGAAUCUGCCCUUUGGUUCGGGAUAACAGUUGGAAACGACUGCUAAUACCGGAUGAUGACGAAAGUCCAAAAAUUUAUCGCCAGAGGAUGAGCCCGCGUAGCAUUAGCUAGUGGGUGUGGUAAAGGCGCACCAAGGCGACGAUCCUUAGCUGGUCUGAGAGGAUGAUCAGCCACACAGGGAUUGAGACACGGCCCAGACUACUACGUGAGGCAGCAGUGGGGAAUAUUGCACAAUGGUCGAAAGCCUGAACCAGCAAGGCCGCGUGAGUGAGGAAGGCCUUAGGGUUGUAAAGCUCUUUUACCCGGGAUGAUAAUGACAGUACCGAGAGAAUAAACUCCGGCUAACUCCGUGCCAGCCGCCGCCGUAA